rnacentral:rRNA from 1 species
UACAGAGGUCUCGAGCGUUGUUCGGAUUCAUUGGGCGUAAAGAGCGUGUAGGCGGCCUGUAAGGUCAGCUGUGAAAACUCGAGGCUCAACCUCGAGACGUCGGUUGAAACCAUCUGGCUAGAGUCCGGAAGAGGAGUGUGGAAUUCCCGGUGUAGCGGUGAAAUGCGCAGAUAUCGGGAAGAACACCCGUGGCGAAGGCGGCCCGCUGGGCAGUGGCUGACGCUGAGGCGCGACAGCGUGGGGAGCAAACAGG